rnacentral:rRNA from 1 species
AGAGUUUGAUCAUGGCUCAGAUUGAACGCUGGCGGAAUGCUUUACACAUGCAAGUCGAACGGCAGCACGGGGCAACCUGGUGGCGAGUGGCGAACGGGUGAGUAAUACAUCGGAACGUGCCCAAUCGUGGGGGAUAACGUAGCGAAAGUUACGCUAAUACCGCAUACGAUCUACGGAUGAAAGCGGGGGAUCGCAAGACCUCGCGCGAAUGGAGCGGCCGAUGUCAGAUUAGGUAGUUGGUGGGGUAAAGGCUCACCAAGCCAACGAUCUGUAGCUGGUCUGAGAGGACGACCAGCCACACUGGAACUGAGACACGGUCCAGACUCCUACGGGAGGCAGCAGUGGGGAAUUUUGGACAAUGGGCGCAAGCCUGAUCCAGCCAUUCCGCGUGCAGGAUGAAGGCCUUCGGGUUGUAAACUGCUUUUGUACGGAACGAAAAGGUCCUGGUUAAUACCUGGGGCUAAUGACGGUACCGUAAGAAUAAGCACCGGCUAACUACGUG